rnacentral:rRNA from 1 species
AAAGAUUAAGCCAUGCAUGUCUAAGUAUAAACAACUUUAUACUGUAAAACUGCGAACGGCUCAUUAUAUCAGCAAUAAUUUAUUUGAUGGUUUCUUACUACAUGGAUUACAGUAGUAAUUCUCGAGCUACAUGCGUAAAGUUCCGCCUCUCACGGGAAGGGAUGUAUUUAUUAGAUAAAAAACCAAUGCGGGUUCUGCUCGCUUUUGUGUUGAAUCAUAGUAACUUAUCGGACGCCAUAGCCUUGUGCUGGGCGUAGAUCAUUCAAAUUUCUGCCCUAUCAGCUUUCGACGGUAGUGUAGUGGACUGCCGUGGCGU